AUACUUAGGGUGCGAGCGUUAAUCGGAAUUACUGGGCGUAAAGCGAGUGUAGGCGGCUGCGUAAGUCGGAUGUGAAAGCCCCGGGCUCAACCUGGGAAUUGCAUUCGAAACUGCGUAGCUAGAGUUUGGUAGAGGUAAGUGGAAUUCAAGGUGUAGCGGUGAAAUGCGUAGAUAUCUUGAGGAACAUCAGUGGCGAAGGCGGCUUACUGGACCAAAACUGACGCUGAGGCUCGAAAGCGUGGGGAGCAAACAGGAUUAGAAACCCCAGUAGUCC
rnacentral:rRNA from 1 species